GACGAAGGGGGCUAGCGUUGUUCGGAAUUACUGGGCGUAAAGCGCACGUAGGCGGACUAUUAAGUCAGGGGUGAAAUCCCGGGGCUCAACCCCGGAACUGCCUUUGAUACUGGUAGUCUCGAGUCCGGAAGAGGUGAGUGGAAUUCCGAGUGUAGAGGUGAAAUUCGUAGAUAUUCGGAGGAACACCAGUGGCGAAGGCGGCUCACUGGUCCGGUACUGACGCUGAGGUGCGAAGGCCAGGGGAGCAAACGGG
rnacentral:rRNA from 1 species